GUGAUGCAAUGAUGAUUUCAUAGUUCAGCAGAAUAAACAGUGAUGAAUUUUCUUUCGCUCCUAUCUGAUGUAUCAG